rnacentral:rRNA from 1 species
AAACCAACAGGGAUUGCCUUAGUAACGGCGAGUGAAGCGGCAACAGCUCAAAUUUGAAAUCUGGCCCUCUAGGGUCCGAGUUGUAAUUUGUAGAGGAUGCUUCGGUGUUGGCCCUGGCCUAAGUUUCUUAGAACAGGACGUCAUAGAGGGUGAGAACCCCGUACGUGGCCAGUGUCCCUCACCAUGUGAAGCUCCUUCGACGAGUCGAGUUGUUUGGGAAUGCAGCUCUAAAUGGGAGGUAAAUUUCUUCUAAAGCUAAAUAUUGGCCAGAGACCGAUAGCGCACAAGUAGAGUGAUCGAAAGAUGAAAAGCACUUUGGAAAGAGAGUUAAAAAGUACGUGAAAUUGUUGAAAGGGAAGCGCUUGCAACCAGACCUGCCCGCGGUUGCUCAUCUAGGCUUCUGCCUGGUGCACUCUUCCGCGGUCAGGCCAGCAUCGGUUCGGGCGGCCGGACAAAGGCGGCGGGAAUGUAGCUCCUCUUGGGGAGUGUUAUAGCCCGCUGUGUAAUGCGGCCAGCCGGGACCGAGGUCCGCGCUUCGGCUAGGAUGCUGGCGUAAUGGUUGUAAGCGGC